rnacentral:rRNA from 1 species
UACGGAGGGUGCGAGCGUUGUCCGGAAUCACUGGGCGUAAAGGGCGCGUAGGCGGCUUGAUAAGUAGGGGGUGAAAUCCUGCGGCUUAACCGCAGGGCUGCCUUCUAAACUGUCAGGCUCGAGCACAGUAGAGGCAGGUGGAAUUCCCGGUGUAGCGGUGGAAUGCGUAGAGAUCGGGAGGAACAUCUGUGGCGAAGGCGACUGCCUGGACCAGCACUGACACUGAGGCACGAAAGCGUGGGGAGCGAACAGG